UACGAAGGGGACUAGCGUUGUUCGGAAUUACUGGGCGUAAAGCGCACGUAGGCGGAUUUGUAAGUCAGGGGUGAAAUCCCGGGGCUCAACCUCGGAACUGCCUUUGAUACUGCAAAUCUCGAGUCCGAUAGAGGUGGGUGGAACUGCGAGUGUAGAGGUGAAAUUCGUAGAUAUUCGCAAGAACACCAGUGGCGAAGGCGGCUCACUGGCCCGGUACUGACGCUGAGGUGCGAAAGCGUGGGGAGCAAACAGG
rnacentral:rRNA from 1 species